GCGGGUGUAGCUCAAUGGUAGAGUUCCAGCCUUCCAAGCUGGCUGUGAGGGUUCGAUUCCCUUCACCCGCUCCA
rnacentral:tRNA from 4 species